CGGCGUCAUCAAGGACCAGCUUCGAGCCCCCUCGAUCGCCGAGAUGGACCGUGGAUCGGCAGCCCAAAACUCCCGCCUGUUGGAGGAGGUGUUCCGCGACAUCAAGGGCCGGCGAGCCGCCAUCAUCAGGGCGCUCACCACCGAUUUCGAGGACUUCUAUCAACAAUGCGAUCCCGG